CCUACGGGAGGCAGCAGUGGGGAAUAUUGCACAAUGGCGGAAACGCUGAUGCAGCGACGCCGCGUGAGUGAAGAAGUAUUUCUGUACGUAAAGCUCUAUCAGCAGGGAAGAAAAUGACGGUACCUGACGAAGAAGCCCCGGGUAACUACGUGCCAGCAGCCGCGGUAAUACGUAGGGGGCAGGCGUUAUUCGGAUUUAAUGGGUGUAAAGGGAGGCUAGAGGGCAAUGCCAGUCUGGAGGUAAAUCCCAUGGCUUAAACAUGGAACUGCUUUGGAAACUGUGCAGCUAGAGUGCAGGAGAGGUAAGCGGAAUGCCUAGUGUAGCGGUGAAAUGCGUAGAUAUUAGGAGGAACACCAGUGGCGAAGGCGGCUUACUGGACUGCAACUGACGUUGAGGCUCGAAAGCGUGGGGAGCAAACAGGAUUAGAUACCCUUGUAGUC
rnacentral:rRNA from 1 species